AUUGAACGCUGGCGGAAUGCUUUACACAUGCAAGUCGAGCGGCAGCACGGGGGCAACCCUGGUGGCGAGCGGCGAACGGGUGAGUAAUACAUCGGAACAUGCCCAGUCGUGGGGGAUAACACUUCGAAAGAAGUGCUAAUACCGCAUACGUCCUGAGGGAGAAGGCGGGGGAUCGCAAGACCUCGCGCGAUUGGAGUGGCCGAUGUCAGAUUAGCUAGUUGGUAGGGUAAAGGCCUACCAAGGCAACGAUCUGUAGCUGGUCUGAGAGGAUGAUCAGCCACACUGGGACUGAGACACGGCCCAGACUCCUACGGGAGGCAGCAGUGGGGAAUUUUGGACAAUGGGGGCAACCCUGAUCCAGCCAUUCCGCGUGAGUGGAGAAGGCCUUCGGGUUGUAAAGCUCUUUCGGCAGGAACGAAACGGCGAGCUCUAACAUAGCUUGCUAAUGACGGUACCUGAAGAAGAAGCACCGGCUAACUACGUG
rnacentral:rRNA from 1 species